UACGAAGGGGGCUAGCGUUGUUCGGAAUUACUGGGCGUAACGCGCACGUAGGCGGAUUUGCCAGUCAGGGGUGAAAUCCCGGGGCUCAACCUCGGAACUGCCUCUGAUACAGCAAGUCUUGAGUCCGGAAGAGGUGGGUGGAAUUCCUAGUGUAGAGGUGAAAUUCGUAGAUAUUAGGAAGAACACCAGUGGCGAAGGCGGCCCACUGGUCCGGUACUGACGCUGAGGUGCGAAAGCGUGGGGAGCAAACAGG
rnacentral:rRNA from 1 species